rnacentral:ncRNA from 1 species
AUAGUUUUGGUCCUGGGCUUACCGUUGUUUUUUAUUUAGUUUAUACAUGCAAGUUUCAACAUACCAGUGAGAAUGCCCACAACUUCUUGUAAGAAAACUGGAGCAGGCAUCAGGCACCACCAUUUGAGCCCACAACGUCUUGCUACACCACACCCCCACGGGUAAUCAGCAGUAAUAAAUAUUGAACCAUAAGUGAAAGCUUGAUUCAACUAUAAUACAAUUUUAGGGCUGGUUAAUUUCGUGCCAGCCACCGCGGUUAUACGAAAAGCCCAAAAUAACGGUUUACGGCGUAAAAUGUGGCUAGAGAUAUUCUUAUAAUAAAACCAUUAAAACCUAUUUUCUAGUUAUAAAAUACUUCAGAAAGUAGAGGAAAACCAACAACAAUGCUUCUAUUUUAAUACUCUUGAACCCAUGAAAACUAAGAAACAAACUAGGAUUAGAUACCCUACUAUGCUUAGCAUUAAACAUUGAGUACAUGCCUUACAACAUACUCCGCCAGAGAACUACAAAUGAAAAAUUUGAAACUCAAAGGACUUGACGGUGUCCCAUAUCGACCUAGAGGAGCCUGUCCUAUAAUCGAUAACCCCCGCUCCACCUCACCUUAACUAGCAUCUACCAGCCUAUAUACCGCCGUCUUCAGCCUACCCCAUGAAGGUUAAACAGUAGACACAAUAGCCCCCACUAACAAGUCAGGUCAAGGUGUAGCAGAUGUUAAGGCAGAGAUUGGCUACAUUUUUUAUAAUAAAAAACACGAAAAGUUUUAUGAAAAAAAACAUGAAGGUGAAUUUAGUAGUAAAAUAAACAAGAGUGUUUAUUUUAACCCCGCUCUGGGACGCGUACACACCGCCCGUCACCCUCCUUAAUUAUAACAACUUAUAAAUAAACUAAAAACUAAAUACAGAGGAGGUAAGUCGUAACAUGGUAAGCGUACCAGAAGGUGUGCUUGGACUAA